GCGACUUCCGACACGCCGCUCAUUCGCUUGUUUUCUCUCUUCUUUCAACCUCUCUCUUGCUCUCUCGGACCGUAUCGUCUCUUUCUUUAUUUUUUUUCUCUCCCUCUCUCUCUCUCUCUCUCUUUGGUACUCGUGCCACCGCGAAACCCGUUCCUAUACACUCACUGUACCGUGUAACUAUGAAACGCCUCUGAUGCGGUGCUAUAUACACCAGCGCAUAUAUCGCUUGCGCAUGGCUGAAGAGUCAGCCUUCGAACUCUCCGCCGCGCACCGCCAACAUGCAGCUUCUCUUCUAGCCGUCGUCGUCGCGGUCGCUGUCGCUGUCGCCGUCGCCGUCGCCGUCGUGCACACGCGAUAUACGUCCAAACUUUCAUCCGUCUCCGCGGGAGCUCAGAUGCUUCGGUUCCGCGACGACUCACGCUUCGUUCGAGUCGAGGUUUUCUUGUCGAAUGGCGUGGCUAACGCCAGUGACAGUUGAGGGCAACGAGGAAGACGACGACUCGGACGAGGACGACGCUCGCAAAAAGGCUAAUCAAUUCCUCGAUCGUCCGGCUAACAAGUGGGAUUUCGUGCUCAUACGGAGCGGAGGUCACGCCAAAUUCGUGAAUUGAGGGAUUGCGUCGCAAUCGAAAUUGCUGACGUAUGAAGCGAACUGCAACUCGUAAUCUUGUUGAUCCGUUUUGAACAUCGUUGGCACUGGAUCACGGUUUUGUGAUGGAUAUGCUAAUUUAACUGACGCGCGAACAUAAGUUCGGUCGAAGCGAGCCUCAAUAAUUGUAUCCGUAACAAUAAUUUAUAAACGCUCGGUUAUAAUCGUUGCGCUUGCAUUUUGGUAUUCUUUAUACGCGUAUUGUACGCCGUUACGCGUGUGUUCGAGCUUUUUAUAUCAAUAAAGAGCGGGCAUGAAAGAAAAACAAAAGUAUGAUCGAAUUAGAUUGAAACGACAAAUGUUUUAUUGAGUUUUGAAUGUUUUACGGAUCAAAUUACAAAAAUAAAUUAAUUUUGUUUGAAA